UUUUGAUUGUGAUUAGAUUGCCUACAAAUAAACUAUACUGAAUAGAAAAUCCGAGAAACCACUUUGGACAUCUAAUCUCCUAAAUUCUCUUUUUCUUUUGGUUAAAAAUAUUUUCCUACAUUCUUGACAUGGUCCUAGAGAUUCCAGCAAUAUUUCAACACAUCUAAAACAUGAAACAAAGAUUCCAAGAAAAAGGAAAACUAGUGAGA